CCCACUUGGUGGAUGGCUUGGCUCGGGCGCCGAAGAAGGGCGCGGCAAGCUGCGAAAAGGCCCGGGUAGACGCAUGCAGUCGUUGAUCCGGGCGUGCCCGAAUGGGACUUCCUCUAGGCGGCCAACCGCCUAGGCGCCGACGAGGCGCGGGAACCCCCCGAACGGAAACAUCUUAGUAGGGGGAGGAGGAGAAAUCAAACGAGAUUCCCUGAGUACCGGCGAGGGAAAGGGGAGGAGGCCAAACCGAAUCCCGGUGCGAUGAGUGCCGGGGUGUGUGGGGUUCGGGCCCGGAGUAGGGCCUACCCCCGCGAGCGGAAGCGCGUUGGAAAACGCCGCCACAGAGGGUGACGGCCCCGUACGCGAAGCGGGGAAGGCCUGUCCGGGUUCCAGAGUACCAUGCCCUGACGGGCGUGGGAAGAUGGGAGUAACCGACUUCCAAGCCUAAAUACGUCCCGAGACCGAUAGCGGACAAGUACCGUGAGGGAAAGCUGAAAAGCACCCCGAGAGGGGAGUGAAAAGUGCCUGAAACCAGGUGGGGAUACACGGCGCGGCUCGAAAGGGUUACACCCAGCCGAAGGAAACCGUGGUGACGCGGGAGUACGAGGCUGGGUUACCGGGGUUGCGCCGUUCGUCUUGGAAAACGAGCCGGGGAGUCCAUGGCUGUGGCGAGGGUAAGGGUUAAAAGCCCGCACCCGCAGGGAAACCGACUUGCCCGCAGCACCGCAAGGUGUGAGGGGCGGGGUCCCAAAAGGGCCUGGAGUCACAGUCAUGGGACCAGAAACCGGGCGAUCUAUGCCUGCGCAGGGUGAAGCCGGGCGAAAGCUCGGUGGAGGCCCGAAGGGGUGCUGACGUGCAAAUCGCUCCUCAGACGUGGGCAUAGGGGCAAAAGACCAAUCUAGCCCGGUGAUAGCUGGUUCCCCCCGAAGUGCGUCUUAGCGCAGCCCGGUCGGAGAUUGCCAACAGGGUAGAGCUACGGAUUAGAAAGUGAGAGCCGAAAGGCUCCGCUUUCUCGUCCAACUCCGAAUCUGUUGGCUUCGAAGAAGACCGGAGUGGGGUUCUACGGGAUAAGCUCGUAGGCCGAGAGGGGAACAACCCUCACUGGGGUUAAGGCCCCCAAGUGCCGGCUAAGUGUAUCGAAGAGCGUCCCGUGCCUAAGACAGCGAAAAGGUGGGCCCAGAAGUAGCCAUCCUCUAAGGAGUGUGUAACAACUCAUUCGCCGAGGCGCGGGGCCUCGAAGAUAGACGGGGCUCAAGCCGGCCGCCGAGACCCCGGCGCACCCUCCACUGGAGGGAUGCGGGUAGGGGGGCGUCCCAGCUGGGUAGAAGCGGGGCCGUGAGGUCCCGUGGACCGGUUGGGAUUGCAGAUCCCGGUGGUAGUAGCAGCAGUAGAGAGGAGGAUAUCCUCUCCGCCGGAAGGGCCAGGGUUCCUUGGCAACGAUCUUCGGCCAAGGGUUAGCCGGUCCUAAGGCGGCCCGCAACUCGGAGUCGCCGAAAAAGGGUGAAGGGUUAAUAUUCCCUUGCCACGGGGAUACGUGCCGCAAGGCGGGCCGGUGCCCGACGCUUCAGGGUAGGCUGAGCGGAGAUGCCGCUCUGUCAGUGCGGUCGAAGCUGGGGGAGUGCUGUAAAGGCGAGAACCCGGCGAAGGCCGUGCUGGUUCCCCGCAAGGGGAAUUCGGCUGCGCCCCGGAGCCCGUGAAAAAAGGCGCCGGAAGGAUUCCCCGUGACCGUACCUAGAUCCGACACAGGUGCCCCUGGGUGAGGAGCCCGAGGCGUGUCGGGUUUACCCCUGGUUAGGGAACUUGGCAAUUUAGCCCCGUAUCUUAGGUAUAAGGGGUGCCUGGCAUCCUGCCGCAAGGUGGUGGUGCCAGGUCGCAGUGACAAGGGUGAGCCGACUGUUUAAUAAAAACAUAGGUCACCGCUAGCCGGUAACGGUUUGUACGGUGGCUGAAUCCUGGCCACUGGCGGGACGUUAAGCCCGGGUUCAACUGGGUGAAGCGCCGCUGAAGGCCGGGAGUAACUCUGACUCUCUUAAGGUAGCCAAAUGCCUUGCCGGGUAAGUUCCGGCGUGCAUGAAUGGACCAACGAGCUCACCACUGUCCCAACCAGGGGCCCGGCGAAACUACGUCACUUGGUGCAUAGUCCAGGGACCCCCGACCGGGAGAAAAGACCCCGUGGAGCUUUACUGCAGCCUGUUGUUGAGACGUGGUUAGGGAUGCGGAGAGUAGGCGGGAGCGAGGAAGCCGUGGUUCCGGCCGCGGUGGAUGCGACGUUGAAACACCGCCCAUCUUUAACCACGUCCCUCACCCCGAAAGGGGAACAGCAAUAGGUGGGCAGUUCGGCUGGGGCGGCACGCCCACGAAAAGGCAUCAUGGGCGCCCAAAGGUUGGCUCAGGCGGGUCAGAACUCCGCCGUAGAGUGCAAGGGCAAAAGCCAGCCUGACCGUGUCCUUAUGGCGAGGGACGCGGAGGGGAAACCCAGGCCUAGCGACCGCUCAUGCCUCUAUCGGUGGGAGCUGGGCAUGACAGAAAAGUUACCCCGGGGAUAACAGAGUCGUCGCGGGCGAGAGCUCCUAUCGACCUCGCGGUUUGCUACCUCGAUGUCGGCUCUUCCCAUCCUGGCGGUGCAGCAGCCGCCAAGGGUGGGGCUGCCCGCCCAUUAAAGGGGAACGUGAGCUGGGUUUAGACCGUCGUGAGACAGGUCGGUCUCUCCCUAUCGGGGGUGCUGGUCGCCUGAGGGAAGGGUACCCUCAGUACGAGAGGAACGGGGUGCCGCGGCCUCUAGUUUACCGGUUGUCUGGCAAGGCAGACGCCGGGCAGCCACGCCGUAUCUGGGUAACCGCUGAAAGCAUCUAAGCGGGAAACCAGCCCCGAAAAUAGGCGGCCACUCCCAUCCGUUAGGGUGU
rnacentral:rRNA from 4 species